rnacentral:rRNA from 1 species
CGCUGGCGGCGUGCCUAACACAUGCAAGUCGAGCGGAGACAUUUGGAAAGCUUGCUUUCUGGAUGUUUCAGCGGCGGACGGGUGAGUAACGCGUGAGCAACCUGCCUUUAACAGGGGGAUAACGCAUCGAAAGAUGUGCUAAUACCGCAUAAGACCACAACGCUACAUGGCGAAGGGGUCAAAGGAGUAAUCCGGUUAAAGAUGGGCUCGCGUCCGAUUAGCUAGUUGGUGAGAUAACAGCCCACCAAGGCGACGAUCGGUAGCCGACCUGAGAGGGUGAUCGGCCACAUUGGAACUGAGAUACGGUCCAGACUCCUACGGGAGGCAGCAGUGGGGAAUAUUGGGCAAUGGGCGAAAGCCUGACCAGCAACGGCGCGUGAGGGAAGAAGGGUUUCGGCUCGUAAACCUCUGUCCUAUGGGACGAAGGAAGUGACGGUACCAGAGGAGGAAGCCCCGGCUAACUACGUGCCAGCAGCCGCGGUAAUACGUAGGGGGCGAGCGUUGUCCGGAAUGAUUGGGCGUAAAGGGCGCGUA